rnacentral:rRNA from 1 species
GACAGAGGGUGCAAACGUUGUUCGGAAUCACUGGGCGUAAAGCGCGUGUAGGCGGCUGCGCAAGUCGGAUGUGAAAUCCCGUGGCUCAACCACGGAAGUGCACCCGAAACUGCGUAGCUGGAGUCUCGGAGAGGAAGGUGGAAUGCUUGGUGUAGAGGUGAAAUUCGUAGAUAUCAAGCGGAACACCGGUGGCGAAGGCGGCCUUCUGGACGAUGACUGACGCUGAGACGCGAAAGCGUGGGGAGCAAACAGG